UAGGGAAUCUUCCGCAAUGGGCGAAAGCCUGACGGAGCAACGCCGCGUGAGUGAUGAAGGUCUUCGGAUCGUAAAACUCUGUUAUUAGGGAAGAACAAAUGUGUAAGUAACUAUGCACGUCUUGACGGUACCUAAUCAGAAAGCCACGGCUAACUACGUGCCAGCAGCCGCGGUAAUACGUAGGUGGCAAGCGUUAUCCGGAAUUAUUGGGCGUAAAGCGCGCGUAGGCGGUUUUUUAAGUCUGAUGUGAAAGCCCACGGCUCAACCGUGGAGGGUCAUUGGAAACUGGAAAACUUGAGUGCAGAAGAGGAGAGUGGAAUUCCAUGUGUAGCGGUGAAAUGCGUAGAUAUAUGGAGGAACACCAGUGGCGAAGGCGACUCUCUGGUCUGUAACUGACGCUGAGGCUCGAAAGCGUGGGGAGCGAACAGG
rnacentral:rRNA from 1 species